rfam:Danio rerio chromosome 1, GRCz11 reference primary assembly.
GCCGGCAGUUAGCUCUCUGGAACUCUCACAUGGUCGCCCACUGAAGCUAAGCAGGGCUGUGCCCGGUCAGUACCUGGAUGGGAGACCACAUGGGAAAGCUAGGUUGCUGCCGGAA